CGAACGGGUGAGUAACGCGUGAGGAACCUGCCUCAAAGAGGGGGACAACAGUUGGAAACGACUGCUAAUACCGCAUAAGCCCACGACCCGGCAUCGGGUAGAGGGAAAAGGAGCAAUCCGCUUUGAGAUGGCCUCGCGUCCGAUUAGCUAGCUGGUGAGGUAACGGCCCACCAAGGCGACGAUCGGUAGCCGGACUGAGAGGUUGAACGGCCACAUUGGGACUGAGGCACGGCCCAG
rnacentral:rRNA from 1 species